CCACAGCCAGCAGCCAGAAAUGGGGGAGGAGCAUGGGAUGAGCUGAGCUUGCACCGAGGGACAUCGGCGCUGGACCCAGGUAAGUGACUGAAGGUGUUAUUAACCAACAAACAUGUAUUCCUGACACUAUAGUGUUAAACCCACCAUUUAGGUGCCCUGCCCCCGCCCCCCUUACAAGGAAUAAUAAAAAAAAAAAAAAACUCCCCUUAUUUCCAGUGCCGUGCAGGUCCACUGGCACUGCCCCCUUGCGGACAUGAUCAGAAUUGCAGAUUUUUAGCCAAUCCAAUGCUUUUACAUGAGGAAAGCAUUGCAUAAAACUGGGCAAUCAGCACCUCCUCAUAGAGAU